UACGAAGGGGGCUAGCGUUGUUCGGAAUUACUGGGCGUAAAGGGUGCGUAGGUUGUUCAGCAAGUUAGUGGUGAAAGCCCAGAGCUUAACUCUGGAAUUGCCAUUAAAACUGCUGAGCUAGAGAGUGUUAGAGGUGAGUGGAAUUUCUAGUGUAGGAGUGAAAUCCGUAGAUAUUAGAAGGAACAUCAAUGGCGAAGGCAGCUCGCUGGGACGGUACUGACACUGAGACGCGAAAGCGUGGGGAGCAAACAGG
rnacentral:rRNA from 1 species